rnacentral:misc_RNA from 1 species
GAUGAAGAACGUAGCGAAUUGCGAUAAGUAAUGUGAAUUGCAGAUUUUCAGUGAAUCAUCGAAUCUUUGAACGCACCUUGCGCCCCCUGGUAUUCCGGGGGGCAUGCCUGUCCGAGCGUCAUUGCUGCCCUCAAGCACGGCUUGUGUGUUGGGCCUCCGUCCUCCUCCCGGGGGACGGGCCCGAAAGGCAGCGGCGGCACCGCGUCCGGUCCUCGAGCGUAUGGGGCUUCGUCACCCGCUCUUGUAGGCCCGGCCGGCGCUUGCCGACACAUCAAUCUUUUUUCCAGGUUGACCUCGGAUCAGGUAGGGAUACCCGCUGAACUUAAGCAUAUCAAUAAGCGGAGGA